GGUUGCUAUGGUGAGAUCUUUUUCUCAAAGUCUAUUUACUUCUCCCAUCUAACAACAGUACCGACAGUGGAGCCUAUAAAACAGAAAGUAUAAAGUAAAGCAGCCAUUACACACCACAGUUCUGAGAAGUCCUUAUUCUAAUGAAAUGAAUUUGAAUGCUCACCAGAAACAAAGCACACAGCUCAGAAGAUCUGUUGUUGCACAACCAGCUACUCAGUCUUGGGCAGAUAAGCAGUCGGCACUGCAGCAAGACCAGGUUCAACAGGAUAAGAUCUGGAGAGAGUCUGUGGAGGCUGAACAGAGAGGAAGAAAGAUUUGGUACCAGAACUGGAGUUUCCUAAAGGACUAUGACCAAAUGGGUAAGAAAAAGGAGCAGAAGCCACUGCCAAACUAUAUGCCUGUGUUCUCAAGCAAAGUUCCCAACUCAACCAACCAGACUAUUGGCAGUCGAAUGGGUACUGAACUUGGCAGGGAUUUGGUAAACAUGGAUUAUUUCUUCAGCACUGGUGCACGAAAGAGGAAACUUGAUGGUGAGCUCCAGCCUUCCUAGCACUUUGGUAAAAAUAUAACAGUAACAAAGCAAGUUGAAUGGUUCUAGCCAACAGACUCCACAGCAGAACACUCCAUGUUUGCUUGGAUGAAUUCCUUGAAACACAAAUGCUUCUCCAAGAAACUCAGAAGUUCUGCCAAAGGCUGAAGAGGUGCUUGUGCAGUUCUGUCAGCUGCAGCCCCAUCCACAGCCCUCUUCUGUCACAGGGCAUAGAUGCCACAGACUGACUUCAGCUUGUAACCUUCUCAAAGACUCUCUCAGAAGCUGUACGUAUCCACCAGUUCUUCUAAAUGGAACUUCCAAGUAUCAGGAGUUACAGUCUCACCUCAGCACAAGACCUUCAUGCCAGAUCGAUGGAGCAAAACUGCCGAAAAUGUCUCUUAACUGGAAAAUGCCCACA